CAAUAGCGUAUAUUAAAGUUGUUGCAGUUAAAAAGCUCGUAGUUGGAUUUCUGGUUGAAGCUACCGGUCGGGCGUUGAUUCGUCUGCACUGGAGUCGGUUUUGGCCAUCCUCUAGGAAAGUGCGUCUGGUAUUAAGUUAUCGGGCGUAUGAUCCUGGUCUUUUACUGUGAAAAAAUUAGAGUGUUUAAAGCAGGCCUUCGCCUUGAAUACAUUAGCAUGGAAUAAUAAGAUAGGACUUUGGUCUAUUUUGUUGGUUUGCAGACCGAAGUAAUGAUUAAUAGGGAUAGUUGGGGGUAUUUAUAUUCCGAUGUCAGAGGUGAAAUUCUUAGAUUUUCGGAAGAUAAACUUAUGCGAAAGCAUUUACCAAGGAUGUUUUCAUUAA
rnacentral:rRNA from 1 species